GUCACUGAGGCUGGCAGGUGUGGAGGUGGGCAGAGGCAGGUCGGGCAGGCGUCUCACCUGUGUGUCUCACCCGUCGCACCUGCAGGCUGGUGGUGAUUUCAGGCAUCUGAGCCGCAGGAGGACGCUUGUGCUGCUCAGCCCCUCAGCACAGAGUCAAUUGUGGGGCGGAGGAACGGGCCAGGAAGCCAGGACUCCAGCCCCAGUGUCCUCCGCGCGCCGGCGGAAAGCCCGAGCCGCCUCCUCCGUGUCUGCAGCGCCGGGUCCUGUGGAGGGAGGGCUGGUCCUACCUUGCACACUUCUUGGCAGGCGCUGUGUCUGGGGCUGGGAUGAGUAACCCUGUCGCUGCCCAGCGGCGCUGACAACCCGCUCAGGGAGAGCCGUGGAAACAGCUUACAGAGGCACCGUCCCUGCAGACGAGUGACAGUCCUGGGACCUGCGGAGGAUGAAGCCAGCAGGGCCUAGCCCCGAGCGGGCCCCAGGCCUAUGGAACCCCACCGUCCACUUCUGUCAUCACUGAUUUCUUGUCAGAUGACCGGAGCUGGGAUUCGGGUUACAGUCAGCGUACAGCCAGCCUGGCUGGAAUCAGAAGCAUCUCUCGCAAGGCCGGACACGCGAUGCUCGACUUCUGACAGACCCUCGGGUCCACACGCCCGCCUUGCAGCAACAAAGCAGCCCGAAGGGGACCAGCGUGGCCAAGGCCACCAUGCACGGUCGCUGUUGUGACUCAGCUCAGAGCUCAGGCCCUGGAAGGCUCUUCAGUCGUCAUAGCCUCCGUGUCCUCCCCCCGCCCCAUCCCUCCCAGCCCCUAGCCCGCAUGUAGCACAGUCAGGCCUCGGGCUCCAGGG